rnacentral:lncRNA from 1 species
GGAGGGUGAGCCAGUUCUUGGGUACUUGCAUCACAUUCAUUAUUGCACAUGUAGGGGUUUCCCAUUGCACAGAAAGUCUCAGGAGGAUCUCCACACGUUAUAUCUGGGGGAUCCAGAGUCACUCUUACGUAUUUGAUCAUGUCUCUGGCUUCUGGCUGGCAGGCCAUGUAAUCCCAUACUUUUCCUUCUUCUGUGUAAAUCUGAGUCUUACACACAUCGUAAUGUCCCCACACGGAAGGAUAAUGCUGCAUCAUGGAAGAGACGGUGACCCAGAGGGCGUGAAGUGACAGAAAUCUCGACAAAUACAUUUCUAAAUCCUUUUAGAUCACCUUCGUGAGGAUGCUCAGUACUGACGUACGUUCAGUCUAUAGAUUAUACAUAUAUGUACAUAUGCAUGUAUAUAUUUCAUAAAAUAGGUUCCAACUCAAACGUGAGGCAUUAGGAUACAGCGUUUGCUUUAUUACGUUGAAGACUUUGGUAGAAGCCACACAGACCCCAGUGACAGCCUUUCACAGCAACGUAGAGCUUGUCCUUUG